UUGAUCAUGGCUCAGGAUGAACGCUAGCUACAGGCUUAACACAUGCAAGUCGAGGGGCAGCAUGAUCUUAGCUUGCUAAGAUGAUGGCGACCGGCGCACGGGUGAGUAACGCGUAUCCAACCUUCCCUAUAGUAGAGGAUAGCCCGGCGAAAGUCGGAUUAAUACUCUAUGUUAUUCAAUGCAGACAUCUAAGUUGAAUCAAAGGUUUACCGCUAUAGGAUGGGGAUGCGUCUGAUUAGGUUGUUGGCGGGGUAACGGCCCACCAAGCCUUCGAUCAGUAGGGGUUCUGAGAGGAAGGUCCCCCACAUUGGAACUGAGACACGGUCCAAACUCCUACGGGAGGCAGCAGUGAGGAAUAUUGGUCAAUGGGCGAGAGCCUGAACCAGCCAAGUAGCCGUGCAGGAAGACGGCCCUAUGGGUUGUAAACUGCUUUUAUACAGGGAUAAAGUUCGCCACGUGUGGCGUUUUGUAGGUACUGUAUGAAUAAGGACCGGCUAAUUCCGUGCCAGCCGCCGC
rnacentral:rRNA from 1 species